rnacentral:tRNA from 2 species
GGAGAGGUGGCUGAGUGGUUUAAGGCGCACGCCUGGAAAGCGUGAGUAGGCUUAUACCCUACCGGGGGUUCGAAUCCCCCCCUCUCCGCCA